CCCCUCUCAGGGUCACACCUAGAGGGUUUCCAGUACUCUACCAGUCUCGGCUACAAGAGGUAGAGUCAAGCAGAGGUCUGUCCAUUCCAUUCCUAGCUUGGGCAGUGGCUAGCGAGUGGAAGGCAACCUACUACAAGU